UGGGGAAUCUUGGACAAUGGGGGCAACCCUGAUCCAGCCAUGCCGCGUGAGUGAUGAAGGCCUUAGGGUCGUAAAGCUCUUUCGCCUGUGAAGAUAAUGACGGUAGCAGGUAAAGAAACCCCGGCUAACUCCGUGCCAGCAGCCGCGGUAAUACGGAGGGGGUUAGCGUUGUUCGGAAUUACUGGGCGUAAAGCGCACGUAGGCGGACCAGAAAGUUGGGGGUGAAAUCCCGGGGGCUCAACCCCGGAACUGCCUCCAAAACUAUUGGUCUAGAGUUCGAGAGAGGUGAGUGGAAUUCCAAGUGUAGAGGUGAAAUUCGUAGAUAUUUGGAGGAACACCAGUGGCGAAGGCGGCUCACUGGCUCGAUACUGACGCUGAGGUGCGAAAAGUGUGGGGAGCAAAACAGGAUUAGAUACCCUGGUAGUCCACACCGUAAAACGAUGAAUGCCAGUCGUCGGGGUAGCAUGCUAUUCGGUGACACACCUAACGGAUUAAGCAUU
rnacentral:rRNA from 1 species